ACGUAGGGGGCAAGCGUUAUCCGGAAUUAUUGGGCGUAAAGAGUGCGUAGGUGGUUUUUUAAGCGUGAGGUGAAAGGCAAUAGCUUAACUAUUGUAAGCCUUGCGAACUGGAAGACUUGAGUGCAGGAGAGGAAAGUGGAAUUCCUAGUGUAGCGUUGUUAUGCGUAGAUAGUAGGAGGGACACCAAAGGGGGAGGCGACUAUCCAGGAUGAAACUCACCCUUAGGCAGGAAAGCGUGUCUAGCAAAAAG
rnacentral:rRNA from 1 species